UUCUAAUGCACUAUAGUAAGAUGAUAUAUCACGUGGCUCUUGUGGCGCACUAGUCAUCAUUAAAAAGUUAAUUGUCCUUUAUAAAUGUUACAUUGAACCGGGUUGCGGAAGCUGGUUCGAGCAGCAUUGGGUUCUAUUUCUCAACCGAACAACACAAAGCAAACCUUAUCCGAUAUAAUGACGUAACUCCCGGUGAUAUAACUACUCCCGAGCACGGGACCUGAAGGACUCAGAUACCUGGACCUGAAGGACUCAGAGACCUGAAGGACUCAGAGACCUGAAGGACUCAGAGACCUGAAGGACUCAGAGACCAUGACCUGAGGACUGACCGGGGGGGGGGGGGAUAGAGACCGGAGCAGCCGUCCUGAGCGCACCGCGUGUUCUCACCGUGCCAACCGGCGGCUCCAGCUGCACUCUCGAUGGACGUGAGCCUCGAGGAACUUUGAUAUGAAACAUUUCCUCAAGAGGAGGUCUAUUGGAGUCCAUGCUGACCACUGCGGAGGAGAUGGCCAUGCACCUACCCAGACCCCUGCGCCGACCUGGCCGCUAGAACAACCAGACAGCACUGCCGGCGACUACGAUCCUCAAAGCAAGAGCAGAAGUUACUAAGUGAACGAAAGGUUUUUCAUGUGGGUCAGUGCAUGCGUACAGACCACGUGUAUUUUGUUUUGGAGUAAUGGAAUACGAGGAGUACAAUGCAUCUCCAGGUGACGCACCGAUCAGACGAGGUGAGAGGUGCCCGGCUCGAGGCGAUUUGCCUCGGCCUGUGUGUGCAGUGUGUGGCCCAUGUCAUAUGGUCUGCAGCAAAGAUGCAAGCAGGAUUCUGUAACCUACAUAUUGAACCCAACCCUACCCAAGUGUUUAUGUAUCGCGAUGCUUUUAUAAUAUAUACGUUCUUAUAUGUUUUAACUGCAUAUAGUGUUUAAGUAAAGGCAGUUGUGUUUGUCCUGUUCCCUUUUCCUUUACCUUUCUCUCUCACUCUUUAGAUGUUUGAGACUCUCAUGCUAAACCUUAUCUUCUCUUUAUUGCUCUUUUAUUUCCCCUCUUCCUCCCUCUCUUCUUGUAUUCUUCCCCAUUCCCGCAUCGCUCUGUUUCUCUCUCUCCUCCUCCCUCUCAACUUGUAUUCUCACUCAUUCCCUCAUAGCUCUGCAUCUCUCUCCUCCUCCUCCCUCUCAACUUGUAUUCUCCCCCAUUCUCUCAUUGCUCUGUAUCUCUCUCUCCCCCUCCCUCUUAACAGUGAUUCUCCCCCAUUCCUUCCCCUCCCUGUAUCUCUCUCCCCUUUAAGUGGUUAAAUGGCUGUGUGUUGGUGAGAGCUACAGUAAACCAGGGCUAAUCCAGGGGAUUAACUUGUGUCAGCUUCUGUUUGGGAAUCACUGCUUUACUAUUCUCAUCCUCUGCCUUUCUAAAUGCAAAGCGCCCGGCGCUCAGGUUAGACCCACUAUCUCCCUCCUCACUCACAGACACACUGCAGACACCUGACCCCUUUCAAAACACGCGUGGACCUUUCAUGGCUAGUGUUGUUGAAAUGGAAUAGGUAUUAUCAGGGCCCUAGUCAUAGUUUAAUAAUGGAAAAGGUAUUACCAGGGCCCUAGUCAGACUUGAAUAAUGGAAUAGACCAGGGACCUAGUCAGAGUUUGAUAAUGGACUAGGUAUGACCAGGGCCCUAGUCAGAGUUUAAUAAUGGAAUAGGUAUGACCAGGGCCCUAGUCAGAGUUUAAUAAUGGAAUAGGUAUGACCAGGGCCCUAGUCAGAGUUUAAUAAUGGACUAGGUAUGACCAGGGCCCUAGUCAGAGUUUAAUAAUGGAAUAGACCAGGGACCUAGUCAGAGUUUAAUAAUGGAAUAGGUAUGACCAGGGGCCUAGUCAGUUUAAGCAUGCACUCAUCUCUGAGAAGUAACAACCGCAGAUCCUUUAUACAGUUGUAUUUAGAUUCCAAUUUUAUUUUUAGCUUUUAAAAAAUGCAGAGGUCCGGACAUCGGUGACCUCAUUGCUGCGUACUGGCAUCGUGGGUACAACCAGCAGUGAUGAGAAGUUUGAGAAUGCGUAUUAACUGACCGUUCUCACAGGUAUCAUUGUAAGAUUGACGCAGGUGACUCAUAAGGCUUAUGGGUCUGCUACUUCUAUUCACUGGGGCCCGGGUCAUAGACAUAUCUUCGCUAGUCUAGUCUACUACGUGUGCCCUAGCAGACCCAUAGUUGAAGUUAUGAGCGACAGCUAGACAAGUAGCCCAUUGCUAUGAGGCUAGUUGAUCAGGG
ensembl:lncRNA